GAUGAACGCUGGCGGCGUGCCUAACACAUGCAAGUCGAGCGAAGCGCUUAAAUUAGAUUUCUUCGGAAUGACGCUUUUUGUGACUGAGCGGCGGACGGGGGAGUAACGCGUGGGUAACCUGCCUCAUACAGGGGGAUAACAGUUAGGAAUGACUGCUAAUACCACAUAAGACCCCAGCUUCGCAUGAAGCGGUGUUAAAAACUCCGGUGGUAUGAGAUGGACCCGCGUCUGAUUAGCUAGUUGGUAAGGUAACGGCUUACCAAGGCGACGAUCAGUAGCCGAGCUGAGAGGGUGACCAGCCACAUUGGGACUGAGACACGGCCCAGACUCCUACGGGAGGCAGCAGUGGGGAAUAUUGCACAAUGGGGGCAAGCCUGAUGCAGCGACGCCGCGUGAAGGAUGAAGUAUUUCGGUAUGUAAACUUCUAUCAGCAGGGAAGAAAGUGACGGUACCUGACUAAGAAGCCCCGGCUAACUACGUG
rnacentral:rRNA from 1 species